AUCCACAGUACAUUCAGAAAGAGCCGAAAAGGCUGUGAAAUGCAUAUGAUCUGCUUCAGGCUCUUGUUGAUUGGCGGCGAGUUUGUUGAAGGCGCAGAACGCUAGAAACCACAAUUUAAAUUUUAGAUAAUCUUUUCGCAAUGACAGAUACGACGAUGAAGGAAGCACCUGCACCUCAAAGCGGCGAAGUUAAAUCAGUGAAGUGCGAGUGCUGCAAACUGACAGAGGAGUGCACGGAGGAGUACAUAUCACGAGUACGCGAAAGGUAUCAGGGCCGUUGGAUUUGCGGACUCUGCAUUGAGGCCGUGAAAGACGAGAUUGGGAGAUCGGGGAGGAGGAUCACUACAGAGGAGGCGUUGAAUCGGCAUUGUAGCUUUUAUGAGGAGUUCAGAAGUUGUACACCGACAGAGGAGUUGAUUUCUACUGUGAAAGAGUUGCUGCUACGCAGUUUGGAUUUGUCAGGACGGUCCCAGAGCUAUUUUAAUUUCCGGGCCUGAAUACUUAAUUCUAGUUCAAUUCACGACCAUAGAACUGUUUCUCAAGUCCGGAUGAUAGAUAAAUCUCUCGUGUGAGACAUAAGUAAACAGAAAUUGAUCUGCACGACCAUAAAACUGUUUCUCAAGUCCGGAUGAUUGAUAAAUUUCUCGUGUGACAUAAAUAAACAGAAAUUGAUCGGGUUCAA